CUCUGUAAGUCUUAAAAUGGUUACCUUCCAACAUGUCGGACCCAAUAUGUUAUUUUGCGCAAAAAUUAUAUUUGCCUUGAUUUGACUAGAAUGCUUUCUCAUGCAUCUAUGUAAAUAUCACUCACACUGAACCUCAACGACAAACAUCUCAGUAUGCAUUGUGAGCUUCAUCUGCUUUAUCCUCCGUAUGUACAUGAUGUGUUCUCAAGUGUCUCUUUAAAUUACUGAGCCGACUAAACGCUUUGCCACAUUCACAACAGUCGUAAGGUUUAUCGCCUGUAUGUAUACUCAUGUGUCUCCCUAAAUCAUAAUGCUGUCUAAACCGUUUACCACAUACAUCACAAUCAUGAGUUCUAACAUCCGUAUGUGUUCUCAUGUGUCUCUUAAAAUUACUAAGGUGACGAACAACUUUACCACAUACAUCACAUUCAUGAGAUUUAUCCACUGUAUGUGUUCUCAUGUGUCUCUGUAAACUACUAAGGUGACUAAAUCCUUUAC
rnacentral:lncRNA from 1 species